rnacentral:lncRNA from 1 species
AGGGUGGCCUGAAGACUGAGGAGGGGCAGGUCAGGUGCCCAGUCCAGAGAGGAGGAGUUGAAGAUGACAAGGUUCGGAGCUCCAGGGACUGGGUGGUGGCAGUGCUAUUAAUGGAAACAGGGAAGUCCGGAGGAGGAGCAGGUUUGGGCCCAGGAGGCGGAGUUCAUCCUUAGACAUGUUGACCCUAUUAUGCUAACAGUGGGCUAUUUCGGCUGAGGUCUAGCCACAAUUCAAGGAGGAAAAAAUUAAGGCUUAGUAAAUAUUCUUGACCAAAGCCAAGCUGCUCUUGCUAUGUCCCAUGUUCCCUGGCCUGGGCCUCAGGCUGCAGUGUUAGGAUGGCAGCAGCCUAGCCCCAGCCCCAAGUUCAAGCCCUAAUCCAGCCGCUGGGGGUCGCCACUGUGCACAGACUGGCAGAGCUGCCAAGGUGUGCCAACCGAGAAGAGGGUUUGGAGCCAGGAUUCCCCUCACAGGAGACAGAGGUCUCUUCCCUCUUUGUAGAGGUAGCAGAGGCUCACGAGCAGAACCGAGUAUCAGGCAGGUUAAGCUUUCCCCAAGAGCCUGAUUAACCUUCUCCAUCAGGUCUCGGUGACCUUGGAGCCAGGAGGGAAAAGCCACAGAGCCCCCUCACCUCUGGUGCUUUGAGAACAGCUCUCCCAGUUGCCCGGGGCGGGGGGCGGGGGCGGGGGGGACACAGUGUUCAGGGCUCUAGUGACCUCGCUGGGAGCAGGAUCCCAGCUGUUUCAAGCCUCCACAUGUCUCCCUUGACAUUUGCGUCAGCAACUCUGCCCUUUGACCUUUCACUCCCCAGAGAGGACGGUGGAGGCAAUCGGGACUAAUUAUUUGCAGUUCGGUGUGUCCAGCAGUUUAUUGGGGUUUGACCUGGCUCUCUGGUCUCCCCCACCCCAGCUUUAUGGUCUUGGUCUCCCGAGGAAGUUAAAGAACCAAGGGCAGGAGUGGUUCCUCUUGGCCUCCUGGUGUUGAGAGCCAGGUGGGAAGGUACGCUUGUAAAAGGGCUUGGAGAGGUGUCCCCACGCAGGCACGCACGCCCAGCGCAAACUCUGCCCCCCACACCCUUGGGCCAGCCUCCUGCUGUGCUUGGACUUGUUGGGACAUGUCCCCAAGUGGACUGGGGCCAGGAGAAGGGGAUGCCAGUCUCCUGGCUGCUUGCCCAGGCUGGAAGGGGGUGGAGGUUGCAGGACUCCGAAAGAGCUGGGGGUGGGGCAGGUGCGGUGGAGUCCAUGGGGCUCCCUAGGCCCUGGGCCCAUGAGGUAUCUGGUUCCCUCUAUAUUUGGCCUUGACAUUACUAGCAUGCCCUCUCAGAGGGGCAGGCGGCCAGCUGUACCCAAUGUCUCCUCACAGGGACCGGAUUAUUUGAGGGCUCUGGGGGAGACAGUUGUAGCCCAGGAGGGCUGAGAGGCUUAAGAGGACAUUUCCCCACAGAUCCCGGUCAGAAAGGAGUCAAGGAUAGAUGGCACAGAUAGAUGGCCCUGAAACUUUUCUAAGAAUUCCCAGUACACUCACUGGAAUGUUCCUUUUGCUCAGGUUCCCCGAGGAAGCCUAGGCUCUGUGGCAUGGGUGACGUGGGGCAUGAUCCCAACCUCUUCCCCAGGAGAGGUUUUCUAGGUAUCCUGGUACCCUCAAUAAAAAUAAAAACAAAAAACCCAAA